rnacentral:rRNA from 1 species
AAUAUUGCGCAAUGGGGGAAACCCUGACGCAGCGACGCCGCGUGAACGAUGAAGGCCUUCGGGUCGUAAAGUUCUGUCCUCAGGGAAGAAUAAAUGACGGUACCUGAGGAGGAAGCCCCGGCUAACUCCGUGCCAGCAGCCGCGGUAAUACGGAGGGGGCUAGCGUUGUUCGGAUUUACUGGGCGUAAAGGGCGCGUAGGCGGAUGUUCGCGUCAGAGGUGAAAGCCCCGGGCUCAACCUGGGAACUGCCUUUGAAACGGGACAUCUUGAGUUCGGGAGAGGGUAGCGGAAUUCCCAGUGUAGAGGUGAAAUUCGUAGAUAUUGGGAAGAACACCGGUGGCGAAGGCGGCUACCUGGCCCGAUACUGACGCUGAGGCGCGAAAGCGUAGGGAGCAAAC